rnacentral:rRNA from 1 species
AGCUCCAAUAGCGUAUAUUAAAGUUGUUGCGGUUAAAAAGCUCGUAGUCGAAUUUCUGUUGAGGACAGCCGGUCCGCUUCACGGCUGGUAUCUGGUUUGGCCUUGGCAUCAUCUUGGGGAAAGUUCUGCACUUCACUGUGUGGGGCGGGACCUGGGACGUUUACUUUGAGGAAAUUAGAGUGUUUCAAGCAGGCUUCAGCCUUGAAUACAUUAGCAUGGGAUAAUAAGAUAGGACUUUCAAUGCCUAUUUUGUUGGUUUCUGGCAAUGAAGUAAUGAUUAAUAGGGAUAGUCGAGAGGAUUAAUAUUCCCAAGUCAGAGGUGAAAUUCUUGGAUUUUGGGGAGAUUAACUAAGGCGAAGGCACUUCCUAUGUCUUAACCCAUUGAUCAAGAACGAAAGUA